UACGGAGGGUGCAAGCGUUAUCCGGAUUUACUGGGUUUAAAGGGUGCGUAGGUGGGUAGGUAAGUCAGUGGUGAAAUCUUCAAGCUUAACUUGGAAACUGCCAUUGAUACUAUUUAUCUUGAAUACUUUGGAGGUAAGCGGAAUAUGUCAUGUAGCGGUGAAAUGCUUAGAUAUGACAUAGAACACCAAUUGCGAAGGCAGCUUACUACACAGUUAUUGACACUGAGGCACGAAAGCGUGGGGAUCAAACAGG
rnacentral:rRNA from 2 species